rnacentral:rRNA from 1 species
AUGAACGCUAGCUACAGGCUUAACACAUGCAAGUCGAGGGGCAUCAGGAAGAAAGCUUGCUUUCUUUGCUGGCGACCGGCGCACGGGUGAGUAACACGUAUCCAACCUGCCCUUUACUCGGGGAUAGCCUUUCGAAAGAAAGAUUAAUACCCGAUAGCAUAAUGAUUCCGCAUGGUUUCAUUAUUAAAGGAUUCCGGUAAAGGAUGGGGAUGCGUUCCAUUAGGUUGUUGGUGGGGUAACGGCCCACCAAGCCUUCGAUGGAUAGGGGUUCUGAGAGGAAGGUCCCCCACAUUGGAACUGAGACACGGUCCAAACUCCUACGGGAGGCAGCAGUGAGGAAUAUUGGUCAAUGGGCGCUAGCCUGAACCAGCCAAGUAGCGUGAAGGAUGAAGGCUCUAUGGGUCGUAAACUUCUUUUAUAUAAGAAUAAAGUGCAGUAUGUAUACUGUUUUGUAUGUAUUAUAUGAAUAAGGAUCGGCUAACUCCGUGCCAGCAGCCGCGGUAAUACGGAGGAUCCGAGCGUUAUCCGGAUUUAUUGGGUUUAAAGGGAGCGUAGGUGGACUGGUAAGUCAGUUGUGAAAGUUUGCGGCUCAACCGUAAAAUUGCAGUUGAUACUGUCAGUCUUGAGUACAGUAGAGGUGGGCGGAAUUCGUGGUGUAGCGGUGAAAUGCUUAGAUAUCACGAAGAACUCCGAUUGCGAAGGCAGCUCACUGGACUGCAACUGACACUGAUGCUCGAAAGUGUGGGUAUCAAACAGGAUUAGAUACCCUGGUAGUCCACACAGUAAACGAUGAAUACUCGCUGUUUGCGAUAUACAGUAAGCGGCCAAGCGAAAGCAUUAAGUAUUCCACCUGGGGAGUACGCCGGCAACGGUGAAACUCAAAGGAAUUGACGGGGGCCCGCACAAGCGGAGGAACAUGUGGUUUAAUUCGAUGAUACGCGAGGAACCUUACCCGGGCUUAAAUUGCAGUGGAAUGAUGUGGAAACAUGUCAGUGAGCAAUCACCGCUGUGAAGGUGCUGCAUGGUUGUCGUCAGCUCGUGCCGUGAGGUGUCGGCUUAAGUGCCAUAACGAGCGAAACCCUUAUCUUUAGUUACUAACAGGUCAUGCUGAGGACUCUAGAGAGACUGCCGUCGUAAGAUGUGAGGAAGGUGGGGAUGACGUCAAAUCAGCACGGCCCUUACGUCCGGGGCUACACACGUGUUACAAUGGGGGGUACAGAAGGCAGCUAGCGGGUGACCGUAUGCUAAUCCCAAAAGCCUCUCUCAGUUCGGAUCGAAGUCUGCAACCCGACUUCGUGAAGCUGGAUUCGCUAGUAAUCGCGCAUCAGCCACGGCGCGGUGAAUACGUUCCCGGGCCUUGUACACACCGCCCGUCAAGCCAUGGGAGCCGGGGGUACCUGAAGUACGUAACCGCAAGGAUCGUCCUAGGGUAAAACUGGUGACUGGGGCU